UGUUCACAGUUGGUUUGAAGGACGUUCUGGACAGUUCAAACAAAUGAUUUGACCACCCAGAUCACCCGACAUGAAUCCCAUCGAACAUUUAUGGGACAUAAUCGAGAGGCCAGUUCGUACACAAACUUCUGCACCAGGAAUGGUUUCACAGUUAUGGAUAGCUAUAGAGGCAAUAUGGCUCAAUAUUUUUGCAGGGGAAUUCCAGUAAUUUGUUGAGUCCAUGCCAUAUCAAAUGGGUGCACUAUGCCAGGCGGUAGGAUGUCCAAUGCAAUAUUAGGAGGUACCCCAUGACUUUUGUCACUUCAGUGUAGAAUAACACAAAGAUGAUUGUAAUAGUUAAGUUUAGUAUUGUAGAAGUGUUAAAAAUGUUGGAAGUUACUUGUCGGACUUCUGAAAAUGGAAAUUAAUCUUUUGGUAAAAAGUGAAGUGUUUUUAAUUUAGUAAAUGCACAGUAAGUGAUAUGCAGUAUUUUAAUUAUUGUGUGAAACGUGCCAGUUCAGAGUUGGACAAGUAUUUACUUGAAACUGACUUCACUUAAGAUUUUUUAAAGAGUGUUAGUUAUUUUUAUGCAACACAAGGGGCUACUGAUAAAACAAACCUGUAUUAGCAACUGGUUCGAUCAAAGCCGCCACCACCACCACCACCACCACCACCACCAUGCAAUGUAACAUAGUUAUAGCAGCGUGCAUGGCAUCACACCUACUGUGACAUCCCUAAUAUAAAUAAAGUUAUAAAAAGUUAACCUGCACCACUGCCGCCAAUAAAAUGUCUACUAGACAAUUGUAUGCAAUACAGUAAAGGUUUGUCUUGUCAGCACCUCUUGAUAUAUAAAUAUAACAUUUCAUAAAUAUUUGAGCUGUGGGGUACCACAGAAAACUAAUUGGGAUUUAUUGUUUCUUAUGAAAGCCAAUUUAUUCACAAUCUAUCAAGGUGAGCGUCUCUUUAACUUUGCUUUGGUCUGGAAGCUAUUUACAAAAAAAGGGGGCUUUUUUUGAAUAACUGCAAGGACUUAGAGAAUCAGUUAUGCAAAAUAUCCACUUUUAGUGAGUGAUGUCGUGGCUUAUGGUUAAGUGUUCAUGGUAGCAGAUAUAUUGUCUUCCGUUGCAUUGCCGUAAAGAAAAUGUUACUGAUAUAAUUUGUGGCAUAAAGAUUUUUUUACAUCAUUGAGACAGCGUGUUAUUUUAAUUUGUUCUUAAAAGCAUUUUUGGUUUAAAUAUAGGGAAAAACAAAAACCACCUAAGUGUCAAAUUUUUUUAGCGUUACAGGGGGCAGGAAUGCAGUAGAAGCCAAAUGUGCAGCUUUGAGAGCUGAAAUAUUAAAGGCAGCAGCAAAUAGGCAAUCGAUAAGGCCCAUGGAAAUCCAUUUCUAAUACAAGAUACAGAAUUCAGUCCGUGAAGGAGAAGAUAUAAAUGUGCCGAAAAUGGAGCUUACAAAAGGGAAUAUGAUUGACAAAAAGUGCAAAAUGUCAAAGCAGGGAUGACUAGAAGAAAAGUGCAAAACUGUAGAAACAAGAAUGACCAUGAGAAAAAGAGAUCCUGCGCAUUUAGAAAAAAUUAAAGAAAGCUUUGGAGAAAUGAGAAGCAGAUGUGAGAAUUUAAAGAGCUCAGAAAAGUAGGAAAGGCUGAAAGGUGAAGUUAGUAUGUAGAAGGGCUACACAAAAGAAAGAAACUUUACACCAGAAUGGAAGUAGGUGGGAAUGAGAUAGGAAACAUGAUACUAUAAGAAUAAUUUGACAGAAUACUGAAAGACCUAACUUGUACACAAGACAGGUUGAGUAGAUGAUGAUCCCUCACAAUUGAGAUACUUGGGGGGAGCCAGCCAUGACAAAAUUAUUCCAUAGGGUACGGAAGAUGUGAGACGUUUAAUACUCUCAGACUUCAAGAGGCAUGUGAAAUUUUCAAUUUCAAAGAAAGCAGAUGCUGACAGUAGUGGAUAUUACCAAACCAACAGUUUAAAAAGUAAUGUUUGCAAAGUAGAAACUCUAAUUAUCUCCUGUAAAUGGAAGAGCUAGUAGAAGCCACCUAGGGGAAAAUCAGUUUCAAAGAAGAUAUAUUGCAAAAGAUGAACCUACAAUCAUAGCAUUUGAAACUUAAGAGAAAGCUUUUAAUAUUGCUGACUGGAAUACAAUCUCUGCAAUUCUGAAGGUUGCAGGGAUGAAAUACAGGGAGUAAAAGACUAUCUACAACUUGUGCAGAAGCCAGAUUGUGAGUAAUAUGGAGGUGCUUCAGGAACUUAAAUGGGAAUCCCUUGUGGGAAGGUGACAUUCUUUUCAAGUAACACUAUUGUGAAAAUUCAGAUGAAGCUGACUACAGAACGAUUCAGUUGCCACCAAAAUACUUAACGCAUAAGGGCCACAUAGAUAAGAUACUAGAAAUUCAAGCUCAUACAGAGGCAUAUAGACAGCCGUUUCUCCCUCACUCUAUUUGUGGGUGGAACACAAGGGGAAAUGACUAGUUGUGGUACAGGGUACCCUCCACUGCACACUGUUGGUGGCUUUGCGAAGAUUAUAUGUAAAUGUAGGUGAAGGUCAGUUACACAUAAUGAAUAGUGUAUUCGAAAGACAAAAGAAAAUGUGGGUAAUGGAAUGUAAUCGAAUUAAAUCAGAUGAUGGUGAGAGCCUUUUACUAGGUAAUGAAAUACUGAAAGUAGUAAACGAGUUAAGUCUUUCUGAAAGUACCUAUUUGGAGUAAGCCUUGACUGUUGUGAAUUGUGGACAGUUAGCACUACAGAUAAGAAGCGUAUAGAAGCUUUUAAAUGUGGUGCUACAGAAGGAUGUGGAAGACAAGGUACUGCAUUGAAUAGAGGAGAAAAGAUAUUUAUGGCACAAUGUGAAUAAAAGAAGUGACAUGUUUAUAGGACACACCCUGAGGCAUCAAGGAAUAGCUAAUUUGCAAAACUGGGCAGGAGGGAGGGUUGUUAAAUUGUGCAAGGAGACCAAGGCUUCAAUACAGGAAUCAGGUUCAAAUGGGAUGUAGCUUGCAGUAGUUAUGCAGAGGCGAAUAUAUGUGCAUGGGAUAGACUAGCAUAGGGCAUUGCAUCAAACCAGUAUUUACGCUAAUGACAACAACAUAUUAUUAAAUAUGCAUAUAUGCAAUACAGUAUAAGGAAACAUAGGAUAACAUCGAAUUAUAAAUACUGUUGGUACAUCUUUAAAGCCAUGCCAUUCUUAUAGAUGAAAAAAUAUAAUAUACAAAUGAAAUUGGUUUUACGGAUUGCGAAUAGAAUUUUCUGGCUUCUGGAAGUAUUCAAAAUCGUGGUGGACUUGUAGACAGAACACACAGAUAUGAAGCAGCUCUUGUAACUUGCAUGUGUUUCAUGGGAAGGAAGUGUAUUUUUCAUCAGAGACUGUUUAAUAAAUUUAGAAAAACUAAAUAUGAAAAUUCUGUAAAUAAUUCUGUGAGCUGCAUUUGUGGCAGACAGUAGCUUAUGGUUUGUAGGGAUUCAUGCAGUUGGUUUGUGUCUUUGGCCGUACUUCAAUAGAAACAUGAUAAACCUCUUUAAUAAGGGUAUGAAAUUUAAUCUGCAGUUUUGUAUAUAUAGCCUUUGUAGAUUUAGGUACACAAUUUGAAUUUUUGAUGAGCAUCUCUCUAAAUUUGACAUUGAUAGCAGAAGCAGUUUAUUUAUGAAAUAAUAAGCUAAAACUAGUCUCAUAAAUAAACAAUUUGAAAGAGCCACUGAAUUUUUAUGAAAGUAAUUCAGGAUAUUUAAGACCUCCGUGUUUUGCUGCUGUUAAGUUACUAUGGAGUUGUAACUAAUUAUGUCUUGUGAAGUUAACUCCUUCAGUUAUCUUGGUGAACAGCUGGUGUAUGUUAGGUGUAAUUUUAUAAUUACAAAAUACUUAACCAAUUCUAUGAAGUGCAAUGCCCUUAAGGUGUUAUUUCCUGUACUUAUUUUAAAAGUUGUCAUUACAAGAGUGAUCCCAGCUUUAAAGGAAAGAUGUCCUUGAGGAGACCGUAACAAACCAUAAGCAAGAGUAAAGUUCAGUAUGGACCAAUGAAAUAAAAAGCAAGAAUGUGAGAGUUUUGUAUUGUUAUUGCCAUGCUUAUGCCUCCUGAUGAGAGUACCUCAGGUUUAAGUUUCAGGUGUGACUUGGUAUGUAGUGAGAGAAGUGACAGGAAGAUGGUGACAGGAUACAAGUAAGAUGGAGCAACAUGAAGAAAUUAAUGUCUUGCUAGUGGAGAAAAGACAUGGCUUUGUAAUCAUCUUGUUAUGGGGAAGAAAAAAAUAAAAAGAAUGGCAAGCUUUUCAAACUAGCAAAGUUGAAAAAUAUGUAUAAAUAAUUGUGUUGUAUUUAAUAAAGCAUUAAUUCCUAAACAA